UGACGCGGGGUUCUGAGUUCUGUGACUAGGCCACCAGCUGGGACGCCGAGUGCCUGCGAGUCCCGGCUCCCUCUGGCCUGGCCUGCCCGGUGCCCGCACCCGAGCCCGGGAAAAGGUGAAAGAGGAAGGAAAGGGCUCAAGUUAAAUGAGGCUCCGCUUUAGCGCUUCCGGGAAGGCUGGCGCGCGGUCACGAGGAUCCUUGGUAAUUAGUGAUUUGUCUUCAGGCCAUCAUACUAGUUCUUCUAGACAGACUCUAUCCAGUCUGCUGUGAAAAGCUGUGGUGAGUUCCAGUAGUUCCUGGUGACAUUAGGAAAUUUCAGGCGAGGAUUGAUUUUGGCUAUUAGGGGUCCCUUGAGAAUCCAUAUGAAUGUUAGGAGGACUUAACCAGGGCAAUUAGGUAAGCAAAUGAAAUAAAAGCAUCCAGAUUGAUGAGGAAAAGGUAAAAUUAUCUCAUUCGCAGAUGACACAAUCUUGUAUAUCAAAAAUCCUAAAGAAUCCACUAAAAAAAAAAACCCAUGAGAACAAAUAAAUUGAGUUUAGCAAGGCUGCAAGAGUCAAGAUCAAUGGGAAAAAAUCACUUGUGUUUCUAUCCUAGCAAUGAACAAUCUGAACAUUAAGUAACAGUUUCAUAUACGGUAGCAUCAAAAAGAAUAAAAUGCUUAGGAUUAAGUUAAUAAAAGAAGUAUGAAAACUUACACUCUGAAAACUAUAAAAUAUUGUUGAAAGAAAUUUAAGAAGACCUUAAA